AACGCACAUUGCGCUUGAGGCUUCGGCCAAGAGCAUGUCUGCCUCAGCGUCGGGUUAAUAUCGCAAACCUAACUCAUGUGCUAGCAUAUGAGAUAGCAGAGCGGAUCUGGCUGUUCCAGUUAGUGUGGUGUACUUCGGUAUGCAUAUAUACACCUGGAUCGGCUGAAGAUAAGAGGCUAACCAAGGACCCGUAAAGGGCCGCAACUGGGUGGGCAGAAAUGCUAUAUUCUUAGUUGUUGGCUUGGGACUUUGAUUGUUCGGCCCUCGAAACAGGAAACCUAUUAACCUAUUUUCUCGACCUGAGCUCAGGCAAGAACACCCGCUGAACUUAA
rnacentral:misc_RNA from 1 species